UACGUAGGGCGCAAGCGUUAUCCGGAAUUAUUGGGCGUAAAGAGCUCGUAGGCGGUUUGUCGCGUCUGCCGUGAAAGUCCGGGGCUCAACUCCGGAUCUGCGGUGGGUACGGGCAGACUAGAGUGAUGUAGGGGAGACUGGAAUUCCUGGUGUAGCGGUGAAAUGCGGCAGAUAUCAGGAGGAACACCGAUGGCGAAGGCAGGUCUCUGGGCAUUAACUGACGCUGAGGAGCGAAAAGCAUGGGGGAGCGAACAGG
rnacentral:rRNA from 1 species